ACGAACGCUGGCGGCGUGCUUAACACAUGCAAGUCGAACGGAAAGGCCCUGCUUUUGUGGGGUGCUCGAGUGGCGAACGGGUGAGUAACACGUGAGUAACCUGCCCUUGACUUUGGGAUAACUUCAGGAAACUGGGGCUAAUACCGGAUAGGCGCUCCUGCUGCAUGGUGGGGGUUGGAAUGUUUCGGCGGUUGGGGAUGGACUCGCGGCUUAUCAGCUUGCUGGUGGGGUAGUGGCUUACCAAGGCUUUGCCGGGUAGCCCGCCUGAGAGGGUAAACGGGGACCAUGGGACUGAGAGACGGCGCAGACGCCUACGGGAGGCAGCAGUGGGGAGUAUGGCACAAUGGGCGGACGUCUGAUGCAGCAACGCCGCGUUCGGGAUGACGGCUUGCGGGUUGUAAACCGCUUUCGCCUGUGACGAAGCGUUAGUGACGGUAAUGGGUAAAGAAGCACCGGCUAACUACGUG
rnacentral:rRNA from 1 species